CCUACGGGUGGCAGCAGUGAGGAAUAUUGGUCAAUGGGCGGAAGCCUGAACCAGCCAAGUAGCGUGCGGGAUGAAGGCCCUACGGGUCGUAACCCGCUUUUGCACGGGGAUAACACCCUCCACUUGUGGAGGUCUGCAGGUAUCGUGCGAAUAAGGGCCGGCUAAUUCCGUGCCAGCAGCCGCGGUAAUACGGAAGCCCAGAGCGUUAUCCGGAUUCAUGGGGGUUAAAGGGAGCGUAGGCGGGCGUUCAAGUUAGCGGUAAAAUCGGGCGGCUAAACCGCGCCCCGCAGUUGAAACUGGACGCCUUGAGUUCACGACAGGCAGGCGGAAUUCGUGGUGUAGCGGUGAAAUGCAUAGAUAUCACGAGGAACCCCGAUUGCGAAGGCAGCCUGCCGGAGUGCGACUGACGCUGAGGCUCGAAGGUGCGGGUAUCAAACAGGAUUAGAUACCCCUGUAGUC
rnacentral:rRNA from 1 species